rnacentral:rRNA from 1 species
UACGUAGGGCGCAAGCGUUGUCCGGAAUUAUUGGGCGUAAAGAGCUCGUAGGCGGUUUGUCGCGUCUGCCGUGAAAGUCCGGGGCUCAACUCCGGAUCUGCGGUGGGUACGGGCAGACUAGAGUGAUGUAGGGGAGACUGGAAUUCCUGGUGUAGCGGUGAAAUGCGCAGAUAUCAGGAGGAACACCGAUGGCGAAGGCAGGUCUCUGGGCAUUAACUGACGCUGGAGGAGCGAAAGCAUGGGGAGCGAACAGG